GAUGAACGCUGGCGGCGUGCCUAAUACAUGCAAGUCGAGCGAACAGACGAGGAGCUUGCUCCUCUGACGUUAGCGGCGGACGGGUGGGUAACACGUGGAUAACCUACCUAUAAGACUGGGAUAACUUCGGGAAACCGGAGCUAAUACCGGAUAAUAUAUUGAACCGCAUGGUUCAAUAGUGAAAGACGGUUUUGCUGUCACUUAUAGAUGGAUCCGCGCCGCAUUAGCUAGUUGGUAAGGUAACGGCUUACCAAGGCAACGAUGCGUAGCCGACCUGAGAGGGUGAUCGGCCACACUGGAACUGAGACACGGUCCAGACUCCUACGGGAGGCAGCAGUAGGGAAUCUUCCGCAAUGGGCGAAAGCCUGACGGAGCAACGCCGCGUGAGUGAUGAAGGUCUUCGGAUCGUAAAACUCUGUUAUUAGGGAAGAACAAAUGUGUAAGUAACUAUGCACGUCUUGACGGUACCUAAUCAGAAAGCCACGGCUAACUACG
rnacentral:rRNA from 1 species